rnacentral:lncRNA from 1 species
GGGGGGGGGGGGGGGGGGGGGGGGGGGGGGGGGGGGGGGGGGGGGGGGGGGGGGGGGGGGGGGGGGGGGGGGGGGGGGGGGGCCGCCGCCGCCGCCGCUGCCGCCUCCGGGCCGGCCCGGGCGGGCCGCUGCCCGCUGCUCGGGCUGCUCAGCCGUGCCGAGACAGAGCCAACGCUGUCCCUCAGGUUUAUUGCUCAGAGAGACAGUACCUUUUGCUGAGUUGAGCAUAUGGCUAACAGGAGCUAUGUCAGGUAAGUUAUGCAACCUUUAGUUUUUUCACCUAGUUUCUUUUGUUGUUAGUCAGCUUUGGAAUAGAAUUAUAAUGCAGUCAGGUUUGUAACAACUGCUAGCUUGGGUUGUCUGUUACUUUGAAAUAUCUGGAAAAAUGCCAACGAUCUCAAGUGUCUUGAAGUCUUAUCAAGCUUUUGCUUUUUCUGUUUCUUGUUGCAACAGAUGAGAACACAGAAAGUUCUGAAGCAAACUGGAUUAGGUAAGAAAGUUUUUAAAUGUCAUAAUCUGUGGCACCCUGGAGAAAAACUAAAUUUGUUGUUCUGACUUACUUCCACAAAAUAGACAAAUCCUUGUCUCAUUCUGCUAACAUGUCAUAAUUUGUCUUAGAGAUGUCAGCUGGUAGCCAGGGACUGUUCCUCUGCUUGGAGCUCUAUUUAUUAAUAUUUUUCUUUCUCAUGUAAUGAAAUUAAGCUAUUGAGCUGGCAAAAUAGGUGAUUCCUGAUUUCUCCUUAAUGCCAGAACACUGUGAAAGUUAUGGAGAGCAUGUAGUUAAAUAUAACAGUUACUGACAGUUGUUUCUUUGCAGUGAGGGCUUCCAAUGUUUUUGUAACAGCCCAACUGUACUUGGUAAGUUGCACUAGAGAUGCAAUUCCAUUCACAAACAUUCCCUAAGGGUAGAACUGUCCUUGUGAUUUUGGGCUUUUUCA